rnacentral:rRNA from 1 species
UACGUAGGGGGCAAGCGUUGUCCGGAUUUAUUGGGCGUAAAGAGCGUGUGGGCGGCCAGACAGGUCCGUUGUGAAAACUGGAGGCUCAACCUCCAGACGUCGAUGGAAACCAUCUGGCUAGAGUCCGGAAGAGGAGAGUGGAAUUCCUGGUGUAGCGGUGAAAUGCGCAGAUAUCAGGAAGAACACCCGUGGCGAAAGCGGCUCUCUGGGACGGUACUGACGCUGAGACGCGAAAGCGUGGGGAGCGAACAGG